rnacentral:lncRNA from 1 species
GUUGAUCCAGUUGAGCACUCCAAAGUCAGUGUGAGCCUCCUUGUUUCCGGAGGGCUCAGUUAUUUUGUUCUCUUAGUUUUGUUUUAUUAGGGUGUUGCGGGGUCUGUCCCAACAUCCAUCUAAGUAUUUUAGAGGCUUCAUAGACAGUCAGUCAGUUAGUUCUGAGUCUCUUAUCUAUGUAUUUAUGUAAAUAUUCUAUUUUGAGACUUGAGUUGCCUUUUUGGCCAAAUGUGUAUCAUUUAAGUUGUUUACAUCUUUGCAUGGCAUUGAGUUAUUCUGUUGAGUAGGUUUCCGCUGAGUUAAGAAAGCCAGGCCAAGGGUUCGCUUGGGGCCAGCAAUGGUCUCCGAGUGCCGGUCUCGCCCAGGGUGUAGGCUCGGGGCGUGACAA